rnacentral:lncRNA from 1 species
GGGAGACACUCCUGGCUACAGAGACAGCGUCGCCCUGUUCCCAGUCUUCUCAUGUGCAGAGUGAAGAUGAACACAGCUCUUUAUGCGGCAAAGUUUGCUUAGGAUGCAGGGGGAGGCACUGCUUCUGGGCCGAUCCAGAGAGCUCUAGAUGCCAGACACAGGAGCCAGAAGGCUUUGCUGAUGGGGUUGGUGACAUACCUUGCGGUGUAUGCACAUGUAGACACUCAGCACCUGGUGCCCACACGAUGUCCUCUUCAAGCAUCUAGCAAAUACUCUCCAGGAUUAUAUCUACGUGGUGUGAAGAAAGACCUUUAUCUUCCACUUUGCCCCCACCCACACCACAAGAUCACCAGCCACUGCAGGAGCUCCCCUCCCCCACCAGCUGACUGGCUGGCCCCCACCCGGGCCCAUCUGCUCUGCAUGUGUAAGCAUUGUCAAAUUGUUUGAAUAAAUUGUCACUCUGAUUAAAA